AGCACAGACCGGCCAAGAGGAUUGUCAGCCUGUGGAGCCAUAGCAACAGAGCCAAUUUUCAAAACCAUGGUGUCUUCCUUUGCUGCCUGAUUAACUGUAACACAAAAAGUAGAGUUAUGAGACAGUCAAUCUGUGCAUCACUUCAUGCAUACAGAGAAAUCUAUGAGUAAUGGGUAACAGAGUGGAGACACAUUCAGUAAGACCAACAUAGGCAACGAACCGGCACUGCAGAGGCUGCGGGCAGUCUCGCAUCCCAGCGCUCAAUGGCUGCGUCACCAGUACAAACUACAGUUACUACAAUAUUAAAAACAACCUAAACAACAGAAAACAAGGAUCUAUUGAAGAAAGUUACUUAAAAUCAGACCCCCCCAAAAAACUCUGAAGACAAUACCUUCAAUACUUGACUGCAUUUCUUCUGUUUUUGGAACAAAAAUUCUGAUUACACUUGUGUUGAUAUAAA